rnacentral:lncRNA from 1 species
CAACUGUAGUCCCUAAUUGGUCGCUAAGAGAGGAAAUAGAUUCCAGUAUCUAAAUUUCCUACACUAACCACCUAAUCUACCCUAAACUAAUCAAAUUAGAGAGGAAAUAGAGAGGCCCGCUUUUUUAUUUACGAGGAAUGAGCGAGGCCCGCGUUUUCUUAUUACGAGUUUUUUACGACGAAUACGGCUUACGUGGAAUUAACGACUCUCGCGUUCUUUAUUUUUUAAUUUCGUCGUUAUUUCCUCAUUAUUUUACGAGGAAAUUACGAGGAUUAUGUUUAAAUCCCUAAAAUCUGAAACCCCAAACCCCAUCUUCCUUAUCUUC